GACGAACGCUGGCGGCGUGCUUAACACAUGCCAGUCGAACGGAAAGGCCCCCUUGUGGGGUACUCGAGUGGCGAACGGGUGAGUAACACGUGAGUAACCUACCCUUGACUUUGGGAUAACUUCAGGAAACUGGGGCUAAUACCGCAUAGGAGCUCCUGCUGCAUGGUGGGGGUUGGAAAGUUUCGGCGGUUGGGGAUGGACUCGCGGCUUAUCAGCUUGUUGGUGGGGUAGUGGCUCACCAAGCCUUUGACGGGUAGCCGACCUGGGGGGGUGACCGGCCACAUUGGGACUGAGAUACGGCGCAGACUGCUACGGGAGGCAGCAGUGGGGAAUAUUGCACAAUGGGCGGAAGCCUGAUGCAGCAACGCCGCGUGCGGGAUGACGGCCUUCGGGUUGUAAACCGCUUUCGCCUGUGACGAAGCGUGAGUGACGGUAAUGGGUAAAGAAGCACCGGCUAACUACGUG
rnacentral:rRNA from 1 species